GCGGCCUAUCAGCUUGUUGGCGAGGUAACGGCUCACCAAGGCAACGACGGGUAGCUGGUCUGAGAGGAUGGCCAGCCACAUUGGGACUGAGAUACGGCCCAGACCCCUACGGGAGGCAGCAGUGGGGAAUCUUGCGCAAUGGCCUAACGGCUGACGCAGCGACGCCGCGUGUGGGAUGAAGCUCUUCGGAGUGUAAACCACUGUUGCCCGGGACGAAUAGCUCGAUUAAUCGAGCCUGACGGUACCGGGUGAGGAAGCACCGGCUAACUCCGUGCCAGCAGCCGCGGUAAUACGGGGGGUGCGAGCGUUGUCCGGAAUCACUGGGCGUAAAGGGCGCGUAGGUGGUUUGAUAAGGGUGUGGUGAAAGUCCGGGGCUCAACCCCGGAUCUGCCGUGCCGACUGUCAAACUCGAGGGCUGUAGAGGCAGACGGAAUUCCGGGUGUAGCGGUGGAAUGCGUAGAGAUCCGGAGGAAGACCGGUGGCGAAGGCGGUCUGCUGGGCAGUUUCUGACACUGAUGCGCGACAGCGUGGGGAGCAAACAGGAUUAGAUACCCUGGUAGUCCACGCCGUAAACGAUGGGUACUAGGUGCCUGGGGGAGCGACCCUCUGGGUGCCGGCGCUAACGCAGGAAGUACCCCGCCUGGGGAGUACGG
rnacentral:rRNA from 1 species